CAUGUAUGACAAGGCCAUAGAUUUUUCUGGAUUCUGGUUUCUAGAUACAAAGAAAUGGAGUCGUAGUUAAUUGCCAAAACUUGUCUUCAAAUUUCUCUACUAUUUUGUUUUUCUCACUGCAUCAAUGGGCUAUGUUGUUGAUCGAUAAUUCCAUUUAAGCAAAUUCCCGCGCUGAUUACCAGAAUUGUCCAAAUUAUAUGUGUGUGGUGCACGCUCUCGAUGGCUCUUGGCCGCACGCAGCCGCUCACCGAUCGGGAGAAACGAUCGGGAGAGGCAGGACACUCACUCAGCUUCGUGUGUGCGUUUGUCGCUGGUGGACAACCCCAACCCCAACCCCAACCCAUCUACAUCUCAUCUGAUCUCAUCCCAACCGAGCCCGUCCCAUUCCAUCCCACAACCACAUCGAGAAGAUGUAUUUUCACUUAAACGCUUUACUCGUCGAAUAAUGGCUUUAAUGACUUUAAUGGCGUUCGGAUAAUUUGGCCGCCGGGCAGCUGCACGGCCCGGCUCUGGCCUUCUCGGAUCUGCCCUGUGCGCCGGGGUCUUUCGUAAUUGAUGAAAGUAGAUGGCCACCGGGAGGGGCACAUCCAGGAUGCUCAUCUCAAAUGUAUACAAUUUGUUACUGUUGUUUUCUCUUUAAAAUGCACUUGAGUGCAAAGCGAAUAAAAAUGAACAUGAUAAGAUGCAAAGAGAUGCAAAUAUAUAACAAUAUGAAAAUUUUA